rnacentral:piRNA from 1 species
UGGGCUCUUCGGAUUUAUUUCCCUCU